rnacentral:misc_RNA from 1 species
AAAGCAUAUUACUUUUUUGUUUUUUUAGAUUGCAUACUAGUACUGUUUUCUUUGUCAAUUCUAAUUAGGCUUUAAAAAAUUUCAAAAGAAAUUUUUUUUAAAAGAAAAUACUGCAAUUUUUCCCCCUUUGGAUCUGUCUUAUAAAGUGGGGCAAAAUCAAAAUUGAAGAGCUAAUUCGUCAGUGGCUUCCCUGUGGUUAUACUCUAUGCAAAUGGGGCUUAUGAAAUCAAAGGCAUAUUCAUGAAGAUGCAUGUGGAAGCUUUGGGUUUUAAAUUUAGAUAUUGGUGAUUGAGUUCUUGUUGCUGGAAUUGGCUUAUACAUACAAAGAGGAUGAGCCAUUGGUGACACAGUGAAAAUGGAAUGCAAUAAAGAAGACGCCUUCAGAGCUAAGGAGAUGGCAGAGAAGAAGUUCAUUGAGAGGGACAUUGCAGGGGCCAAAAGAUUCGCAAUGAAGGCUCAAAACUUGUUUCCUGGACUUGAUGGUCUCUCCCAAUUUCUAGCAACUCUUGAUGUGUACAUUUCUGCUGAGGUAAGAACUAACGGGGAAAUAGAUUGGUAUGGAGUUCUUGGUGUAGAUCCAUCGGCUGAUGAGGACACAAUCCGGAAACAUUAUAGGAAACUGGCUCUAAUCCUUCAUCCUGAUAAAAAUAAAUCGGUUGGUUCUGAAGGGGCUUUUAAGAUUAUAUCUGAAGCCUGGAGUUUCUUGUCUGAUAAAGCCAAGCGAAGUGCCUAUGACCAGAAGCAGAAAUUGUGCGAUAUGUAUCAGAAUGUUCCAAAUUUUAAAUCCUCAAUGCCAGCUGGUCAGAAUGGUUUCCAUAAUUUCUUCAGCAAUAACAAGUCAAAUGCAACAACUCAGAACAGUGCCUUGCAUCCAAAGUCUGCUCCACCUCCUCGUUUUCCCAAGUCUAGGACCUUUUGGACAAUCUGCAAUUUCUGUAGAGUACAAUUCGAGUACACUAGAACUUUUGUCCACCACACCCUUCUUUGCCAUAACUGCAAACGUUCCUUCUUUGCUGUUGAGAUGCCUCCCCCACCUAUAAUUGGCAAUAGUCCAUUCACUGCAUGGACUUCUUACAUGCAAGGACUGAAUUCUACUCAGCAAACAAGGACUGAAAACUCAUCUUCUUCAGGAAUGAAGCCAGUUUCUAGAACAAAUUUAGGACCAGUUAUUCAGUCAAGCACAUUUGCUAAAGUGGGCAGUCUUGCAGGUGUGCCAUCAGCUGCUCCAGCAACUGGUGUAAGAGGGGAAUAUAUAUCAAAAGGAGAUAGGCUGAAGAAGAAAAGACGCAUUGAUGAACAUAGGAUGAACCAUACAGCCAAUCAAAUGGCAAACAGAAACAGAGGAGUUCAGACUCAAAAAGAGAGUUUUGAAACAGGAAGGGAAAACAUUGCCAAAAGCCAUACAUUUAAUAGGAAGAGGGAGUUGUCUCAGCUAGAACUUCGAAACAUGUUGAUUGAGAAGGCUAAGAAGGAUAUUCGCCUCAAGCUAAUGGACUGCAGCAUUCCAUCUGCUGUGUCAAAGAUUUCAGAGAAGGAGAUGGAGAAGAAAGAGAAAGGAAAGCAGAAGGCUCCUCUAAAUAGCAUGAACAGUGAUGGAAACAAAUGCCCAGAGUUUGUAGAUACAAACACCAGAGCUCACACAGAUUCUUCCCUGGCCAACUCUAAUGACGAUCCUGACACAAAGGGUACUGAUCCAUCAUUAUCAAUGACUGUUCCAGAUCCAGAUUUUCAUGAUUUUGACAAGGAUCGCACAGAAAAAUCAUUUGGUGAUAACCAGGUUUGGGCUGCUUAUGAUGAUGAUGAUGGGAUGCCUCGAUAUUAUGCUAUGAUUCACAGUGUGAUAUCGACUAAACCAUUCAGAAUGCAGAUCAGUUGGCUUAAUUCCAAAAACAAUCGUGAAUUGGGCCCAUUAAAUUGGAUUGGUUCUGGUUUUUACAAGACCAGUGGAGUCUUCUGGAUAGGCAAGCAUGAAGUUAGCGAGUCUCUUAAUUCUUUUUCACACAAGGUUAAGUGGGCAAAGGGCACUAGAGGGACAGUUCAAAUAUAUCCUAGGAGGGGAGAUGUCUGGGCUCUUUAUAGGAAUUGGUCUCCUGAUUGGAAUGAGCUUACCCCAGAUGAAGUGAUACAUAAAUAUGACAUGGUGGAAGUGCUUGAAGAUUACGAUGAGGAGAGAGGUGUGACUGUUGCUCCUCUUGUUAAAGUUGCUGGUUUCAAGACAGUGUUUUGCCGGAAUUCUGACUCCAGUAAAACCAAGGCAAUUCCAAGAGAGGAGCUGUUUCGGCUUUCUCACCAGGUUCCUUCUUACUUGCUGACAGGUCAAGAAGGUCUUAAUGCUCCCAAGGGCUGUUUGGAACUUGAUCCUGCAUCUAUGCCUUUGGAACUACUUAAAGUAUUUGCUCAAGUUCAGGAUGAAGAAAUGGGGGAGAAUGCUGAAAAGACUAAGGAUACACUUGGGGAUGUUAAGAAAUCUGCUGAAGAACAGUUGGUGGAAGAUGGUGAAAUAAAGGGAAAAAAUGUGGUGAAAGAUGCAGCUAAAGAUGUAGCAGAAGUGAGGAGGGACAAGGGGAAGGAAACCAAGGUAGAAAAGUUAAUGGUGUACAAAAGGAGGCGAGAGAGGAACUAGGUCACAUAACAGUUAUAGCCGCAAAGGAAAAGAGUUAGAAAAGUCGACACACAAAUUAUUUAGCAGUUGUUCUCUUUCAAUACAUUGGUGGGUUACAGUUGCUCUUUUUUAAGUUAUGGCAUGCCCCAGAGAAUCUCAGUUGCAUCCAUAGCACGAAAACAGAUUUUGGAAGGCUGGAAUUUACAAAACGGGUUACUGGAUAGUUAAUAGCUUAACAACCAAUAGGCUAAUUCGCUCUCCACCAUGCUUUCGUUAUGUUUUUGAAUACCCCUAAAAGGAAGUUUUUGCAGCUGGUCAAUUUUGUGCCUCAGAGGCUGCACAUCUUUUCAAUAUAGCUUAAAUAAAUGCUUUACAAUCUGUAGUUCCUGAUAUAUAGAAACUUGAAAACAAAUUUUUUCUUUCUUCAUCUGCAUUACGUGCUGAAACUUUUUUCUUUAUUCUCCAGUAUUUGUGGUGUCAAGUAGAGUACUCCCUCAUAAAAUUUCUUGCCCAUGUAAUCAUACCCAAACCAGGAGAUUGCCUUCAUUCAUUUACCUUAUAUAUGCCAUACUGAAAUUUUUUGCAUUAUUAUAUUACUUGCAUGAUUGCAGA